rfam:Brachypodium distachyon strain Bd21 chromosome 4, whole genome shotgun sequence.
AACAUACUCCCUCCGAUCCAUAUUACUUGUCAUAGCUUUGUCUAGAUACACAUGUAUCUAGACACGUUUUGUUGUGUAGGUACAUGUGUAUCUAAAUAAAGCUGAAACAAGUUAUUUGGAUCAGAGGGAGUAUUAG